GGCCUUGACAUACUAAGAACUUUCCUAGAGAUGGAUUGUGCCUUCGGAACUUAGAUACAGGUGCUGCAUGGCUGUCGUCAGCUCGUGUCGUGAGAUGUUGGGUUAAGUCCGCAACGAGCGCAACCCUUUUCCUUAUUUGCCAGCGGGUAAUGCCGGGAACUUUUAAGGAUACUGCCAGUGACAAACUGGAGGAAGGCGGGGACGACGUCAAGUCAUCAUGGCCCUUACGGCCAGGGCUACACACGUGCUACAAUGGUCGGUACAAAGGGUUGCUACCUCGCGAGAGGAUGCUAAUCUCAAAAAGCCGAUCGUAGUCCGGAUCGCAGUCUGCAACUCGACUGCGUGAAGUCGGAAUCGCUAGUAAUCGCGGAUCAGAAUGCCGCGGUGAAUACGUUCCCGGGCCUUGUACACACCGCCCGUCACACCAUGGGAGUUUGUUGCACCAGAAGUAGGUAGUCUAACCGCAAGGAGGACGCUUACCACGGUGUGGCCGAUGACUGGGGUGAAGUCGUAACAAGGUAAGCGUAGAUGA
rnacentral:rRNA from 1 species